rnacentral:rRNA from 1 species
AAAAACGUAGNGCUAUAAUGCAAGUCGAGCGAACUGAUUAGAAGCUUGCUUCUAUGACGUUAGCGGCGGACGGGUGAGUAACACGUGGGCAACCUGCCUGUAAGACUGGGAUAACUUCGGGAAACCGAAGCUAAUACCGGAUAUGACUCUUCACCUAAAUGGGAGAUGA